AUAGAAAUCAUCAGUAAUGGUAGUAGCACCGGUGGUUUAAGCGCGUCUGGAUUAUAUUUUGUGUACACCAUGGACCUUGUGAUUUUUUUUUUCUUUGGCGGAAGGCCGAAAGAUCUCGUAUCUGAGAAAAAAAAAAUAUGGAUAGUGAAUGUGCAAAAACGGGUGGCGUCCUUGUGCAGUUGUACGCUGAGAUUGGGCUAGCAUGUAUAUGCUUUUAGGACGAGACUGGAAGGAAUUUGUGCCGAUUAGUUUAUCUUUUUGUUGUCUUUGCAAUUGGACCAUUCUAAGCCUUCCCGGGUUCGCCCUGAGAAAUGGCAUGGGAUUGGCGCCAAAAGGAAACAUGCAAAAAAACCAUGUCAUCCACUAUGCUGUAGGACCGGCUGAUCCUGAAAUGCUCUAAGCGAAAGAAGUGCACCUCUGCAAUACAUUUUGCAUAACUCAUCAGCAGCUAGCUUGCGGUGUUCUGGUAAUUUUUACCUUGGAUGCUCUACUCGACUAAACCUCAGUAAAAUGGCUGAUGCCUUUACCGGCACUGGCGCACUACUGAGUCUAAAGUCCAAACUGCCCUUCUAUGCUGUUUAUCUUGUUCACGGGCUCAAAUGUUAUAGUGCGCAUGUGUUCAUUAUGAUUACACCUGUGGUUUAGCACUUAAUCAUGUGGUUCGCCCGCAAAACAUGCCUCGAAAUGCACGCUAAUGCGAGACAGAAUUUCUCGGUGCUCGCUUACUUUGUCCAACCUACGCUGAAAGCCUGGAACUAGCCAUCAGUGUGGUAGUGUGUAUUUUGUUUUGGCUAAUUAAGAACGCCAUAUGUGAGGAUAAGCUAUUAAGCUUGUCCCUAAAACAGUGGAAGCUCACGUGACAAAGACCUGAAGGGUCCAAGUCUCCUUGGAAGAAUUGCUUUAUAUUCCUCCAGUUUGUUGAAGUAGGAAAGACGUAAUAUCUGAUAUAUUUCUAACUUCAGAAAGUAGAAAAAUCCCAAUGGAAUUAAACUCUUGUUCAUUAAGAAGAAUAAAAGCACCUAAACUCAUAAAGCAUUCAUCUAAAACUGCUACCGUCAAGAGGGUUUCCCACAAAAGCUACAAGGGACAGCUUUGGAACUAUGCCCAGAUCCUGUCACCAAUUGUUGACAGAACAAAGAUUUUGUCCCUAGGUAUUUUAAAAUAGGAAAACACCUAAAAAGUAUUUUAAAAAGCAAUUUGUCCCUAGGGCAUUGGAUGUACUCAUAGGUCUACUUUACUAACUCUACUUCAAGUGAAGACAAAACUGAAGCAGUAUAAGACUGGUGUUGCUUUAUCUUGGUUGGACCCCUUCCUCUUACCACGACAUAGCAUGGCUCAGUAGAGGGAUUAGAACGAAAGGGGGAGGGAGAAGAAGCGCCGCAGAGGAGCCUCAUGAGAGCUUCCACAGUUCUGUGGUUUGUUGUAGUUGCUUCCCUGUUUGUUGCCGUUGCUUCUCUGCAACAAAGAGAAGCUUUUGAAGAGGCCACAACGUUGCAUGAAGAAGCUGGGGCUGGGGCACCUAGGAAGGAGAAGCUGCCAUGGUGGUGGGACACUGACUACAUGCGGUCAAAGCGGCGAAGGCCCAUACAUAACUGACAUUCAAUCUUAGAUUUUUUUAAUCGGAGUUUUUAUCCGUUUCUUCAGUAAUUUUUUUAUGUUCUCCCAUUACGCAAAAUUGUCAUCACUGCAAUUUCGAUAUGAGAAGCAAGGAGUUCUUGAGUUCUUAUUUCCCA